AGUCUUCAGGGCGAGGUGAAAUUCCUCACUGGCGGUAAUAGGGCAAAAUGACGCGCAAGUGUUUAUAGUGUUACUAGAGUCCGCGACCCAAUCGGCAUAAUUAAGAAACUGAAAAAGCAGGUAUAUUAGAAAUGCUGAUUGGCUGAUCUGGUGUGAAUCCAGAACCAACGGUUACAGUCCGGAUGGAAGAAGAUG
rnacentral:ncRNA from 1 species